GAUGAACGCUGGCGGCGUGCCUAAUACAUGCAAGUCGAGCGAACAGAUCAGGAGCUUGCUCCUUUGACGUUAGCGGCGGACGGGUGAGUAACACGUGGGUAACCUACCUAUAUGACUGGAAUAAUUCGGGGAAACGGGCGCAAAUGCCGGAUAACCUUUAGAACCGCAUGGUUGUAAAGAGAGAGAUGGUUUUGCUAUCUCUAAUAGAUGGACACGCGCCGUAUUAGGUAGUUGGUAGGGUAACGGCUUACCGCGGCAACGAUACGUAGCCGACCUGCGAGGGUGAUCGGCCACACUGGAACUGGGACACGGUCCAGACUCCUACGGGAGGCAGCAGUAGGGAAUCUUCGGCAAUGGGCGAAAGCCUGACGGAGCAACGCGGCGUGAGUGAUGAAGGUCUUCGGAUCGUAAUGCUCUGUUAUUAGGGAAGAACAAAUGUGUAAGUAACUGAGCACGUCUUGACGGUACCUAAUCAGAAAGCCACGGCUAACUACGUG
rnacentral:rRNA from 1 species